GUUUGCUGUGGGCUCUCAGGACAAACCUCCAGCACCGAGCUGUGGUUAAAAUCAUCCCUGUAUGAACUGCUGAGCCCCAGAGCUCCCAGUUCAGCCAGAUCUCUGCAAUUCCCUGGGCUGGUUUGGGCUGGGAGGGCUGGGGCUGUGCCCCAGCUGUGUCCUGGCAGUGCUGAGCUGAGGGGGAUCAUCACAGCUCAGGUUCAAUGGCUCUGCUCCUGCCAAGUAUUCCUAAAUACCUGAGUGCAUCACACUGGGGUGUGUUCAUCCUGCCCCAUUGCUGGGCUCUUCCUCCCUCUCCUGGAAUGCCCGGAUGGCUUGGGUUGGGAGGGACAUUAACCAUCCUCAUCCCUGCCAUGGCAGGGACACCUUCCACCAUCCCAAGAUGCUCCAAGGCCCUUCCAACCUGGCCUUGGGCACUUCCAGGGACCCAGGGGCAGCCACAGCUGCUCUGGACGAGCCCCUCAGGCCCU
rnacentral:lncRNA from 12 species